UCACCGCAUGAAGCGGGUAAGACCCCUGGAAGACGACCAGGUAGAUAGGCCGCAGGUGUAAGCACGGUAACGUGUUCAGCCAAGCGGUACUAAUCGGUCGAGGGCUUGACCAGCA
rnacentral:rRNA from 1 species